rnacentral:rRNA from 1 species
AACGAACGCUGGCGGCAUGCCUAACACAUGCGAGUCGAACGAGACCUUCGGGUCUAGUUGCGCACGGGUGCGUAACGCGUGGGAACCUGCCCUUAGGUUCGGAAUAACUCCCCGAAAGGGGUGCUAAUACCGGAUAAUGUCUUCGGACCAAAGAUUUAUCGCCUUUGGAUGGGCCCGCGUUGGAUUAGCUAGUUGGUAGGGUAAAAGCCGACCAAGGCGACGAUCCAUAGCUGGUCGGAGAGGAUGAUCAGCCACACUGGGACUGAGACACGGCCCAGACUCCUACGCGAGGGAGCAGUGGGGAAUAUUGGACAAUGGGCGAAAGCCUGAUCCAGCAAUGCCGCGUGAGUGAUGAAGGCCUUAGGGUUGUAAAGCUCUUUUACCCGGGAUGAUAAUGACAGUACCGGGAGAAUAAGCUCCGGCUAACUCCGUG